rnacentral:rRNA from 1 species
UACGUAGGGUGCAAGCGUUGUCCGGAAUUAUUGGGCGUAAAGAGCUCGUAGGCGGUUUGUCGCGUCUGCUGUGAAAGCCCGGGGCUUAACCCCGGGUCUGCAUUCGAUACGGGCUAGCUAGAGUGUGGUAGGGGAGAUCGGAAUUCCUGGUGUAGCGGUGAAAUGCGCAGAUAUCAGGAGGAACACCAAUAGCGAAGGCAGCUCGCUGGGACGUUACUGACACUGAGGCGCGAAAGCGUGGGGAGCGAACAGG